ACCGCGGGAGCCCUGUCCGAUGUGAAAGGAUAGCACAAUCACUUGUUCUUUAAAUGAGGACUAGUAUCAACGGCACCACGAGGACUACACUGUCUCCCCUCUUUAAUCAGUGAAACUGAUCUCCCCGUGAAGAAGCGGGGAUUUUUUUAUAAGACGAGAAGACCCCAUGGAGCUUUAAACCCAAUGCAUAACCCAACAUAUAAAUCAAUAUAACCUGAAAGUAUCUGCAUUGGUUUUAGGUUGGGGAGACCGCGGAGUAUAACUAAACCUCCACAACAAACGGGCUUAUACCCUGAUCUACGAACUACAAUUCUAAGAGCCAAAAAAUUGUUGCCCAUGACCCAAUCACUUGAUUAAUGAACCAAGUUACCCUGGGGAUAACAGCGCAAUCUACUUUAAGAGUUCAUAUCGACAAGUGGG
rnacentral:rRNA from 1 species